rnacentral:rRNA from 1 species
UACGGAAGGUGCAAGCGUUGUCCGGAUUGACUGGGUGUAAAGGGCGCGUAGGCGGAGAGGUGUGUCGGGAGUGAAAUCGUGCGGCUUAACCGUACAAUGGCUUUCGAAACUACCUCCCUUGAGUACAGAAGGGGUUGAUGGAAUACCUGGUGUAGCGGUGGAAUGCGUAGAUAUCAGGUAGAACACCGGAGGCGAAGGCGGUCAACUGGUCUGUAACUGACGCUGAGGCGCGAAAGUGUGGGGAGCAAACAGG